CCUACGGGUGGCUGCAGUGAGGAAUAUUGGUCAAUGGGCGCAAGCCUGAACCAGCCAAGUCGCGUGAGGGAAGACGGCCCUACGGGUUGUAAACCUCUUUUGCCGGGGAGCAAGCCUGAGCACGUGUGCCCAGGCGGCGAGUACCCGGAGAAAAAGCAUCGGCUAACUCCGUGCCAGCAGCCGCGGUAAUACGGAGGAUCCGAGCGUUAUCCGGAUUGAUUGGGUUUAAAGGGCGCGUAGGUGGAUUGUUAAGUCAGUUGUGAAAGUUUGCGGCUCAACCGUAAAAUUGCAGUUGAAACUGGCAGUCUUGAGUACAGUAGAGGUGGGCGGAAUUCGUGGUGUAGCGGUGAAAUGCUUAGAUAUCACGAAGAACUCCGAUUGCGAAGGCAGCUCACUGGACUGCAACUGACACUGAGGCUCGAAAGUGUGGGUAUCAAACAGGAUUAGAUACCCCGGUAGUC
rnacentral:rRNA from 1 species